GUGUAAGUACAGAAUGAGGCACGGCGUCUCUGCAGCACGGCGUAAGUACAGUAUGCGUCAUAUCGUUACGUACGGCAGCGCGAGUUGUAGGAACGGAACUCGGUUGUUAAGUGAGGAGCAUCUGGAGUUGGAGUUGAAGGUCUGGCAUGCUGACUCCACAGCGCUGAAGGACAUACUGUAGCAGAUUUCUUGCAGAGAAAUAAAACUAUAUUAAAAAAGCGCACAAAUGAUGGGUGUUGAAGUACAUGAUGGUAAAGCAACGCACCAUGAGUAAAACGUCCGAAGACCCUCCGUGAGUGUCCUGAUUUCUACAGAGGAGAAAGAGAAGCAAUUGAGUUAAAGGCCAAAUAACUAGGUGUUCAUUGAAUGUAUGGACAACCCUUCAUUGAUCCUGACUACGCUUCACAAUCUAAUCUACUGCAGAAGAUCCAGUUGGUAGAAGAUUUACAUUGCAUCAAUUAAUAAUGACUCCAGCAGGAAUUCUUGUACCAUUGUCAUGGCAAUGGCCGCUAGCCCUGUCACCAUCACUUAAGGAGUUUAAAGCUCUACAAUAAUGUGCAGAAACAUGAAGUAAUGAUCCCCUAUAAAAAGGUGGGUGUAGCAAUUAUUCUGCAAGUGUUCCUAUUUUACUAGCAGGUUAGUUAUAGGUCUCCGCGGUGCUGAUGGUUACAGAUCUGGUCGUUAAUAGAAUAUAGGUAUGCUGAUCUUUAGCAGGACAUAAGUGGCAUAAAGAAUGUGCAACGUGAGGCUUGUAUGAACAUACAGAAAGUGCUAUCAGAAAACCAUAUUACGCAAGAACAUCAUGUUGCAAAAUGAAGCUGUAGCCCAGGUGUGUAUAUAUAUAUAUAUAUAUACUGUAUCAGGGCUUGACAAUUUUUUCUAACAUCUAGGAGCCCGAUCACCAUGAACACCCCCACCCACCUCACACAUAAUAAAAUAUCCCCACCCAACGCCCUCCCGCCUGCAGCAACACUACUGAGCAGCUUCCUCCCAACCCCGAGCAAACUAACCCCCCAGACACACAACUAAGAGGGUAGCCCCCAGCAAACCAGCCUUCCGCAGACAUAUUGCUAUACAGCUACCCCAAGGCAAACGACAAUCAGCCCUCCCUGUAGCCACAUAACUACUAUCAUAUGCACAAUGGGCCUGAUUCAGAUGUGGUUGGAGUAGCAGCGUAUGCCGCAAAGUACCAAGGGCCCUCAUUCCGAGUUGUUCGCUCGCUAGCAGAUUUUAGCAGCAUUGCACACGCUAGGCCGCCGCCCUCUGGGAGUGUAUCUUAGCUUAGCAGAAUUGCGAACGAAAGAUUAGCAGAAUUGCGAACAGAAAAUUCUUAGCAGUUUCUGAGUAGCUCGAGACUUACUCCUACACUGCGAUCAGCUCAGCCCGUUUCGUUCCUGGUUUGACGUCACAAACACGCCCUGCGUUCGGCCAGCCACUCCCCGUUUCUCCAGACAUUCCCGCGUUUUUCCCUGACACGCCUGCGUUUUUCCGCACACUCCCAGAAAACGGCCAGUUUCCGCCCAGAACACCCACUUCCUGUCAAUCACACUCCGAUCACUUCAACGAUGGAAAUUCUUCGGUCGGACAUGAGUAAAUCUACUAAGUUUUGAGCUAAAAUACUUCGCGCAUGCGCAUUGCGUACCGUGCGCAUGCGCAUUUUCGCCUUAAUCGCUCCGUUUCGCUCCGUUGCGAAAAUCGGCAAAGAGCAAACAACUCGGAACGACCCCCAAUGUUCGGUACUUUGCGCAUUUGCAGUACAGGCCUGCGCUGUCAGUCUCACCAUGGCAUCAGACUGUUUCUCCAAACGGAAGCGUUUCACUGCCAUUACAGGGGAGGGGUGAGGCCAGGAUCUCUAUCAGAGGAUGGAGAUUUCCUGGCCUUUAGGUAGGACUUGCUGCAGUCGACUUGCAUGACCCCAUGUGGCCACAAAAUGUUAUUAUAAACAACAAGCUUUAAUCCACAGCACCCAGCAUCUGCCUGAGGUAUGUGACCACACCAUAUACUGUAUAUAUUUUAAUACAGAAGUGUUGUUUCUUUUUUGCUGCAUAAAACAUUUUUUCCAAAUA